GAAAAGCAUACAAAUUGAUUUGAUAUGUGUUUUGUAUGACUUGAGAGCGUUCGUAAGAAAAUGAAGACCCAAGGAAAUAAUUAUAGUUGUUUAUUUUUAUGCUUAGGUUUGAUGAAGAGUAGAAAAUCAUGGAGAAAUUUGAUUGGAUGAAGGGCAUGUGAUCUAAUGGAGUAAACUGGAGAAAACUCAGCAAGGCUUGUUGGUUCCGAUUCUCCUCUGUGACCCUUUGUCUUCAGAGGCACCAUAUUUUAGGACGGCAAGUCCUAAACCCCAUCAGUAAGAAGUGUGAUAAGAUGAAUUGUCACCAAGGAAUGCUGCGGGAAGAGGAGCCCACAAUUAUUAUUCCUUCAGGAGGGGGUGACUGCAUCUAUGAGGAGGCAGGUGGCCCAAGGGCAUGCCAGGUUUGGAAUGAGGAAGAAUCACACUGUGUGCAAUUUGUUGCCUUUGGCCUUGCUGUCAUGUCAGCACACUUCAGCAGGAAUAGAACGCAGCCAGUAACGGCCACCAUGUACUGUACCUCUCAGUUAAAGCCAGUGUGGACAGCAACCAGUGGCCAGGAAAGUGAUUCAAGUUCAAAGAGGAAUUAG
ensembl:lncRNA